GACGAACGCUGGCGGCGUGCUUAACACAUGCAAGUCGAACGGUACGGCCCUUCGGGGUACACGAGUGGCGAACGGGUGAGUAACACGUGGGUGAUCUGCCCUGCACUUCGGGACAAGCCUGGGAAACUGGGUCUAAUACCGGAUAGGACCAUUGCCUGCAUGGGUGGCGGUGGAAAGCUUCUGCGGUGUGGGAUGGGCCCGCGGCCUAUCAGCUUGUUGGCGGGGUAAUGGCCUACACAAGCGACGACGGGUAGCCGGCCUGAGAGGGUGACCGGUCACACUGAGACUGAGAUACGGCCCAUACGCCUACGGGAGGCAGCAGUGGGGAAUAUUGCACAAUGGGCGCAAGCCUGAUGCAGCGACGCCGCGUGAGGGAUGACGGCCUUCGGGUUGUAAACCUCUUUCAGCUAUGACGAAGCGCAAGUGACGGUAGUAGCAGAAGAAGGACCGGCCAACUACGUGCCAGCAGCCGCGGUAA
rnacentral:rRNA from 1 species